rnacentral:rRNA from 1 species
AGUGAACGCUGGCGGUAGGCCUAACACAUGCAAGUCGAACGGCAGCACAGUAAGAGCUUGCUCUUACGGGUGGCGAGUGGCGGACGGGUGAGGAAUACAUCGGAAUCUACUUUUUCGUGGGGGACAACGUAGGGAAACUUACGCUAAUACCGCAUACGUCCUACGGGUGAAAGCAGAGGAUCUUGAGACCCUGCGCGUUUCAAUGAGCCGAUGUCGGAUUAGCUAGUUGGCUGGGUAAAGGCCCACCAAGGCGACGAUCCGUAGCUGGUCUGAGAGGAUGAUCAGCCACACUGGAACUGAGACACGGUCCAGACUCCUACGGGAGGCAGCAGUGGGGAAUAUUGGACAAUGGGCGCAAGCCUGAUCCAGCCAUACCGCGUGGGUGAUGAAGGCCUUCGGGUUGUAAAGCCCUUUUGUUGGGAAAGAAAAGCAGCAGGUUAAUACCCCGCUGUUCUGACGGUACCCAAAGAAUAAGCACCGGCUAACUUCGUG